CUUGCUUUCUUUGCUGGCGACCGGCGCACGGGUGAGUAACACGUAUCCAACCUGCCCUUUACUCGGGGAUAGCCUUUCGAAAGAAAGAUUAAUACCCGAUAGCAUAAUGAUUCCGCAUGGUUUCAUUAUUAAAGGAUUCCGGUAAAGGAUGGGGAUGCGUUCCAUUAGGUUGUUGGUGAGGUAACGGCUCACCAAGCCUUCGAUGGAUAGGGGUUCUGAGAGGAAGGUCCCCCACAUUGGAACUGAGACACGGUCCAAACUCCUACGGGAGGAGCAUG
rnacentral:rRNA from 1 species